rnacentral:rRNA from 1 species
AGUAACGCGUGAGGAACCUGCCUUCCAGAGGGGGACAACAGUUGGAAACGACUGCUAAUACCGCAUGAUACGUUGGAGCCGCAUGACUCCGACGUCAAAGAUUUAUCGCUGGAAGAUGGCCUCGCGUCUGAUUAGCUAGUUGGUGAGGUAACGGCCCACCAAGGCGACGAUCAGUAGCCGGACUGAGAGGUUGGCCGGCCACAUUGGGACUGAGAUACGGCCCAGACUCCUACGGAAGGCAGCAG